GGCCCCUUGGUCAAGCGGUUAAGACACCACCCUUUCACGGUGGUAACAGGAGUUCGAUUCUCCUAGGGGUCACCA
rnacentral:tRNA from 8 species